GAUGAACGCUAGCUACAGGCUUAACACAUGCAAGUCGAGGGGAAACGAUAUUGGAAGCUUGCUUCCGAUAGGCGUCGACCGGCGCACGGGUGAGUAACGCGUAUCCAACCUGCCCACCACUUGGGGAUAACCUUGCGAAAGUAAGACUAAUACCCAAUGAUAUCUCUAGAAGACAUCUGAAAGAGAUUAAAGAUUUAUCGGUGAUGGAUGGGGAUGCGUCUGAUUAGCUUGUUGGCGGGGUAACGGCCCACCAAGGCAACGAUCAGUAGGGGUUCUGAGAGGAAGGUCCCCCACAUUGGAACUGAGACACGGUCCAAACUCCUACGGGAGGCAGCAGUGAGGAAUAUUGGUCAAUGGGCAGAGCCUGAACCAGCCAAGUAGCGUGCAGGACGACGGCCCUAUGGGUUGUAAACUGCUUUAUAAGGGAAUAAAGUGAGUCUCGUGAGACUUUUUGCAUGUACCUUAUGAAUAAGGACCGGCUAAUUCCGUGCCAGCAGCCGACGG
rnacentral:rRNA from 1 species